rnacentral:rRNA from 1 species
UACGUAGGGCGCAAGCGUUGUCCGGAAUUAUUGGGCGUAAAGAGCUCGUAGGCGGUCUGUCGCGUCGGAUGUGAAAGCCCGGGGCCUAACCCCGGGUCUGCAUUCGAUACGGGCAGACUAGAGUGUGGUAGGGGAGAUCGGAAUUCCUGGUGUAGCGGUGAAAUGCGCAGAUAUCAGGAGGAACACCGGUGGCGAAGGCGGAUCUCUGGGCCAUUACUGACGCUGAGGAGCGAAAGCGUGGGGAGCGAACAGG